UAUAAUUUUGUUUCCUAAAGAGGUCAUUUGAAAGUUCUUUAUUUUGAGCAACUUAAUCUUAGAGAAAACAGAGCAGCCAUGCUCUCUCAUUCAUGGAGAAAACCUCUAUGUUACAGAGGUAUUUUCUUCCCUUUAAUCCAAUUGUUUGCUUUAUCGAAUGGCCAUGUAGCUAUAUUUCAUUCUUGCGCUGCUAUUCCCUCGAAAUAUCCUUCGUUUAGAAAAAAACCAUCGGUUUCUAGAAAGCGUAAAGUUGUUUUCUUUAGGGAAUUUAGAGACGUGAAUAGUUUAAGCGAUGCUGUUUGUGUUUUUCAUCAAAUGGUCCGAAAAAAACCAGUUCCUUCUGUUGUAGAGUUCGCAAAAUUGUUAAGGGUGAUGAUUAAUAUGAAAGAAUAUUCUGUUGUUGUUUCUUCUUUUGGAGAGAUGAGGAAGCUAGGGAUUCCCUUUGAUGAUUAUAUCUUGACUAUUGUGAUUAAUUCUUUUUGCUUGCUGGGUUGGGCUGAAAAUGGGUUUUCGGUUUUGUGUAUUUUUUUAAAGAGUGGUGUUCAGUUUAAUGUGGUUACUUUCAGUACUCUUAUAAGGGGACUUUGUGAACAAAAUAAGAUUCAGGAUGCUAUGUGGUUGUUUCGGAAGCUGGUGAAAGAGAAAAUUUGUAAGAUGGAUGAAGUUAUGUUUGGUACUGUCAUGAAUGGGCUUUGUAAACAAGGGCAUACUCAAACAGCUCUUAGUUUGUUGAGGACAAUGGAGCUAGGGGAUCCCAAACCUAACACAAUUGUGUAUAGUAUUGUUGUAGAUGCACUUUGCAAAGACCAAAUGGUAGGUGCUGCUUUCAAUCUUUUCAAUGAAAUGAAGCGAAAAGGGAUUACUCCGAAUGUACUUACGUAUAGUUCACUGGUUGAUGGUUUGUGUAAGUUUGAUCAGUGGGAAAAAGUUAGGCUGCUUUUGGAUGAGAUGAUGUAUCUUAAUAUUUUCCCGAACGUGCACACAUUUAGCAUGUUGGUCGAUGCAUUUUGCAAAAAAGGGAUGGUUGAAGAUGCUGUGGAAGUGUUAAAGAUAAUGAUCCAAAAAGGUGAAUAUCCAGAUGUGGUUACCUAUAACGCUAUAAUGGAAGGGUAUUGUUUGCGUGGUGAAACAGAUGUAGCAAGGAGAGUUUUAGACUCUAUGAUUGAUACUGGUGUCAAGACUGACAUCUUUAGUUACAAUAUAUUAGUCAAUGGAUAUUGCAAGCAAAAGAAAUUAGAUGAGGCCAUGCAUUUAUAUUGUGAAAUCUCGCAAAAGGGGUUGAAACCUGACAUUGUUACAUAUUCUACUAUCUUGCAAGGCCUAUUUGAAGUUGGUAGAGUUGAGUGUUCAGAAAAUUUCUUUACUGAGAUGCAAAAUGCAGGCCAUAGUCCUGACAUUUACACUUGUGGCAUCAUGCUUCAUGGUUAUUUUAAAAAUGGACAUGUAGAAAAAGCAAUGUCCCUUUUUCAUAGGUGGGAAAAACAAAAAGAAGAUACUUAUAUUUUGAUCUACAAUAUAGGCAAUGAUGGAUUUUUUAAAAUUCAAAAGCUUGAUAAAGCACGUUCUAUUUUUGAUAAGCUUUAUUCCGUAGGGUUGCAUCCUGAUGUUAUAAGAUACAAUGUAACAGUAAAUGGACUUCGUAUUGAAGGUUUAGUAGAUGAGGCCAAAGAGUUGCUAAGAAAAAUGGAGGACAAUGGGUAUUUGCCGGACAAUGCCACUUCCAAUCUUAUUGCGCAUGGAAUUCUCAAGAGUAAUAAAACUAAUGAAGCAAUGUCUCUUUUGAAGGAAAUAGUUGGGAGAGGUUUCCCAGCUGAUAAAGCCACAAUGUCAUUGCUAAUAGAACUACUUUUGUUAAUAGGGGAAGGUCCUUUUUUGCUUAAUAUGAUACCAGAAUUUCAUCUAAGAAAUGAGAAAUGAAGCUCUUUUUCCUCUCACUAUUGAACUACUUGAGAGCUCGACUACAAUUGGGAAAACCAAAUGAUGAUAGCUCUCAAAGUUUUCUUAGCUUCCAAUUUAUGGUUUAUGGAGGCUUGGGUACCGGAUAUUGUGACUAGUGUUAUUAAGGCAUUGAAGAAAUGGCAAAAAGAAAAUGAAGAGAAGGAUGAAUUUGAAAUAGAU